GUGACACAACAGGGGCACCUGGGCCACUUCAGUGGUGAGAGGGUGUCCUACUGCUCAGCUGCGCCAAAGCUGGUUUGGUGCCACUGGGCAGGGGGCCAACUGGUACCCCCUUUCUCACCCUCCACUUCCAGCUACAGUGGGCACAAUGAUCUCUUUCUGGUUUUUUUUUUGCCAGUGAGCCACUGUUCAGUGUUUUAUGUCAUGAUGGGAAUUUUAAUGAACGUGAGACAAAAGUGGUCGUGCAAGGCUAGUGCCUAAUGUAUGAAUCAGAAAUGGCAGUGAACUACUCAGCAGGGCACCAGAGUUUCCACGCUUGAGAUGCAGAGCUCUUGAAGGAGUCCAGAAAAAAAGCUCAGAAGUAAUGGGCUUCCAACUGAAUAGCAACCUUUAUGCAUAUUCCUGGGGAUAAAAUGUUGCUGUCUAGUCAUGAGGAAUUAACUGUUUCGUCUUUGAUCAGUUCAGAGCUGAUUAUUUCAUCUUUCCCACUG